CCUACGGGAGGCAGCAGUGGGGAAUAUUGCACAAUGGGGGAAACCCUGAUGCAGCGACGCCGCGUGAGUGAAGAAGUAUUUCGGUAUGUAAAGCUCUAUCAGCAGGGAAGAAGAAAGACGGUACCUGACGAAGAAGCCCCGGCUAACUACGUGCCAGCAGCCGCGGUAAGACGUAGGGGGCAAGCGUUCUCCGGAUUUACUGGGUGUAACGGGAGCGUAGACGGCUGUGCAAGUCUGAAGUGAAAGCCCAGGGCUCAACCCGGGGACUGCUUUGGAAACUGUGGAGCUAGAGUGCUGGAGAGGUAAGUGGACUUCCUCGUGUAGCGGUGAAAUGCGUAGAUAUUAGGAGGCACCCCAGUGGCGCAGGCGGCUUACUGGACAGUACCUGACGUUGUGGCUC
rnacentral:rRNA from 1 species